AAAUGAAUAGACGGGGGCCCGCACAAGCAGUGGAGUAUGUGGUUUAAUUCGAAGCAACGCGAAGAACCUUACCAGGGCUUGACAUCUGCCGAAUCCCAAGAGAUUGGGAGUGCCUUUUAGGAACGGCAAGACAGGUGGUGCAUGGUUGUCGUCAGCUCGUGUCGUGAGAUGUUGGGUUAAGUCCCGCAACGAGCGCAACCCUUAUUGUUAGUUGCCAUCAUUUGGUUGGGCACUCUAACGAGACUGCCGGUGACAAAUCGGAGGAAGGUGGGGACGACGUCAAAUCAUCAUGCCCCUUAUGUCCUGGGCUACACACGUACUACAAUGGCCGCAAACAACGGGAAGCGAAGCCGCGAGGCGGAGCAAAUCCCCAAAAGCGGUCCCAGUUCGGAUUGCAGGCUGAAACUCGCCUGCAUGAAGUCGGAAUUGCUAGUAAUCGCAGAUCAGCAUGCUGCGGUGAAUACGUUCCCGGGCCUUGUACACACCGCCCGU
rnacentral:rRNA from 1 species